UGUCAGCAGUGACUCCAUAACUGUAGCAAAUGCUGCACUAGAGUACAAACUCAAGAGCUUGGUCACAGACACUCUGUGAGCCACACAGCUUACAUUUGACUGGCAGGUACUAAAUGUAAACAACUUUGGGGUGCUGGGAGGGGGGUGGGGGUGGGAUUUUGUGGGUGAUAACUUUGACCAAAAGUAAAAUCUUGCUCUUGUACUGCAGCCAGCUUAUGAUUUUUCCAGAGAGUCAGAAGAGGGAUCAUUUUAGUGCAACAAAGACAUGAAAAAUGUAAAUAAAAGUUUGGUAUCUUGCCAGGGCACACGCUUGUAAUAAGAACAGGAUAGCAGCGUUGAGUGAGGUGCGUGUGCUCUGCUUGGAUGUGGGGUAGGUGAGCCCGGUGCCAUGCUCUGAUGGUCCCUCUUGAAGCACAGAACUUUUAAAUGGAAAGUAUUACUUUACACUUGGCCUCUUAUUGAGGAUUGGCACUUACCUGAACUAUCGGGGGCACCGUUCUUAGGUGGCUUCCAGUACCGAAGGAAGCAGCCUAUUCGUGGUGCUAAUAGGCUAUCUCCAACAGAUGCAAAUGGAAAGAUGCUCCAAAUGACUAGGGUAAGCCUAGGGUUUUUUUCCUUUGUUUGUUUUUCUCCCCGAGAUUAAUUGUGCAUCAAUCUUGGCUUCUUGAGAUUCCUUGUGACACCCUGUUCCUUUUCUAGUCAGACGCCAGCCUUUACAUUUAUGCAUUACUUGGGGCCAGUCUCUUCCUUCAGCGGAGGAGCCCUUGGGCCAAAUACUUCCUCUGACAAAGAUGGCAUCAAUAAUAAAAUGAUCAGUUCUGCAUUUUUUCCUCCCAGAAGUCUAAAACUCCUUGAAUUGAGGUGAAAUGGCUGCAAAGAGAUCGACACCACUCUGCAGCCAAUUUAUUCAGAUGAGCUGCAGGCUGGCCUCAGGGUGCGCGCUGCCAGGAGUGCAGUGCAGUUCUGUAGGGCUUUCCCUCAGCGGGGGGUGGGGGGUGGGUUGGUCUCAGAUAUGUAUUUUAAUUUCCAGAAUGAGAUGGGAGCAUCUUUCCUUUGCGCUCUGGGACUUUUUGUUGUUGUGGGUAAGAACACGGAAGCUCGAUAUGAAUUUGUUGUAUUCACGUUGGUAUCAAAUCAUCUCAUUCUGAUUUUGAUUUUGAUUUUUUUACUUGGGUUGGGGGAGGGUGUCUGCUCUAAGGAUUUAAAAAUGCUUCGCAUGUUGUCGUAAUGAUUGAAAUGAUGGUGAAAGCCUGGAGCAGAGGGCUGUCCUGCAACGGCUCCCGUUCUGCAGGAUGCCACAGCACGUGGGCUGAGCUGCAUCACAGCUCCCUUAUCCUGCUGCUGUGCUUGGCAGCGCUGCUGGGAAGGUUGGGCACAACAGGCGUUUCCAACUGCUGUGAACUUGCAGUCUCUUGAAUUGGAGUUGAUAAUAAAUGAGGGCUCUGGACCAAAGAGCAUCUGGCCUUCACGUGAAGGCUUUGCUGGAUCAUCCCCUGUGUUUUGCUCAGUUCACUGCUGUGUUGCUGACGUGUCUACAUGGAAGCAUUUUUAAAUUCUGCUCUAGACAAAGUGAGGGAAGGGUAAGGAGGGGUGGUGGGAGGGAUGGGUUUAUUAAGAUACAGCCUCGCUGUAUUUUAACCAAUAAUUAAAGGGAAGGGGUGGCAGGAGAAGAAAACAGUCAUUGUUCCCGUUACAGAAAAAAAAAUAAAAGGAACUUUAUUUGAAGAAAAAAUUAUUGCAGUUCAGUGGGGUAUCAUAACCCACCGGUCCCUAGUCAAGAAGUUGAAUGUUACUGUUAAUCAGUGAACAACACGGACAAAUCAUUGCAAACAUUUGGGGGGGAGGGGAAAAUUGGCUUUCGGUUAAAUUGGUGAUUGGCAAACUCUCCGGCGGAGCUGAGAAUUGGUUGAGGAUGUAUUUCUCUCUGGAUGCGUGUGUCACAGCACCGACUCGGGGGGAGUUUCACGAGUUCAGAGUGCAAAAAUAAGACAUGAUAAAAUCCUGAUUUUGUUGAUUUAAACUCAAUAAAAGCUCCCUGGAACACCAGCGUGGUCUCACGUCUUUCUUUGAGCGGUGCUGAGCCCAAACCACGCCGUCCUCCUGCCUUGCACACCACAGUGACACACGAGGGGCAUCCAGUCCCACGGUUUGUGGUUUUGUGUGGUGCCAGCGUGCAUGGAGAUCUCUUGGGCUGCACUGGGAGCUGUGAGGGAUCUAAUGAAUGAGCGACAGAACCGGGGGGUUGGGAUGGACUCGGGGAUCAGGGAGUCCGACCUCCCUGCUGGAAGCUUCCAUAGGGGAGGAGCUUCGUGCCUUCAGCCAUCUCUGGUGCUGUGCUGGGCCAUAGGAGAUCCCGUCCUCCUUCCUCUCCACUCAGUUCAUAGAGGUCAUUGGUUACAAAGCCAUGGUCAGCACUGCAGGGGGAGAAGGCAGACUUUGUUCCCUGAUCAGUUCCUAAUGUAAAUAUCCCAUCGUUGUGGAUCCUGCAGCAAGAGUGUCAUGGUGCUUUUUCUUAGCACGUACGUUUCAUAAUAAAGUACUCAUAUUAGAAGAACCUUUCUGGGUCUACUUACACUUCAACUGUUAGAAAUCAGUAUCCUUCAUCCCACGCUCUUCAUCCUGAAGCUCACAUCCUCAGCCCACGCAUCCAAACCCAUCUCGUUGCACCCUGCGUCCCUCAGCCCUUCUGCAUCCCAGAACCAUGGAAUGUCCUGAGUUGGAAGGGGCUCAUGAAGGAUCAUUGAGUCCACCUGUCUCUGCGCAGGACCACCCCAGACCCUUCACCCUCCUUUUACUGCAUCUCUCAUCGUGCAUCCUUCAUCCCCCCCAGCACCACAUCCCGCACAGCCAGGUGGCCGCCUGGCCAUGCAGUGGGACAUCCAUGGGGACGUGUGGUUGGUCUGGGUGAGCCAAGGCCCAAGGGCAGGGUCUGGGGUGGCUCUAAUGAGUCCCAGCUGUGCUAACAAAGCAGUGACUCCCACCUGCUGUGGGGUUGGGGCUGCCUGGGUCCAUCUGUGCCUUGCUGGGAGCCCAGGGCAGGGAUGGUCCCAAAACCUCUUAACCCGCACUGGGGGCUGUUGAUAGGUUCCUGCUAUUGGGCUCCCACCCUGCUUUUUCUGCUCUGCUUCCUGAAGCUGAGCACAGCCCUGGGGUGCCCUCAGCUCUGCAAAAGGGAAUUGUGGGUGCUGCAGCCCCCUCUGCUUGCAGCAAUGGGGGUGAGCAGGAUGCAGCCAUGCUCCUCCAGCCCCAGUGCUUCUUUCUGGGGAUACAAAACAACACAAGAGGCUGCUAGAAUAGAAGAAAUGCUUGAAAUCUGUUUUAUCUCACUUCCUUUUUUUUUUGGUCUCCUGUUGCAGGGCGAGUGAGGGCUGCAAUAAGGAUCAGCCCAAACCUGAGAGCAGUUCUAGAAACAACAGGACCACAGAGGAGAGGAAGGCAACCAGCUCUGUCUUCGUCUCCCUGUUGAAGAGCUGCAGUGAUGGAGCUUUGCUGGAGGAUGCAGUGUGCCCUCCAUGUAGAGCAGAGGCUGAGCUGACCCAACAGAUGGACCUCAGCUCUUCAGCAUCUUCCUGCGGGAAGGAGGUGGUGGCAGAUUCCAGAGAGAAGCACCGGAGAAGCACCUCUGGGCUGUGGCUGUGAGGAAGGUGGGGGCUGCUUCUUGGUGGUACUCUACCCCCGUGUUGGAAGGUGGGAGGCAGAGCUUGGAGGGGCUGUGCUCAGUGUUCUGCAGCUCCUGCAGUGCUCCAUCGCUCAGGCAGAGGCCUUGAUGUGAUGCUGCUGCUGGGUGAGGAAAGUUUUCUUUACAGAGCUGUCCCCUCUUGGCCACUGGGGGUGGGCUGGCUCCUCUCUGAUGCUGGCCAGGUGUGGGCUGGGGGAACUCAUCUCUGGGGUAGGGGGUGGGAGGAGAGCUCACUAUAUACUGCUUUGAGGAAGGUCCUGAGCUCCGGUGCCUGGCUGGCUGCUUUUCCAGCUACCCACAUGUCUCAGUGAGGCUCUCUACCUUGGGGUGCUUGAAGAGCUUGUAGGUCCCACCCUUGUUCUGGAUGAAGCUGUGCGUGAUCUCCAGCAGUGCUGCCAGGAGCUCAGGUAGGGAGCUUGGUCAGCGUGCAGCAGUGCUGGGUGCUAUCUGCCUUCUUUUCCUCCUUACCUGGGGCAUAUCAAUGAUCUCCUUGUCCUGCAGGAUGCUGAUGACUUGGUGAAGGUUCCCACAGAAAGGGUAACUUUAGAAAAGGGGGAAGAAGAAUGCAAUUGGUGGGGGAGAGGGAAGGAUGAGGCUGAUGGUGCAACUUUUCUUUUCUUGGCAGCUGCUACUGUGAGAGAGCCUUGCCUUGGCUGAGAGGCCAGCCCUAUGCAUGCUGCUUGGCAUGUGCUUGUGGACUCUGCUCCCAGUCUCUGUUAAGAGCACGAUUAUGACUUAAUCCAGUGUAACUGGUGCUCCUGUGUGCCUGACACCGUGCAGAAUCCAGCUGAGCGCCCUGCAUGGGUGCUUGAGCUUUGUCAUACAGCAGCGUGAAGCUCUGCAGGGAAAUGCUUGAGCAAGUGCUCUCUGUUCCACUUGGAUCGAAGGCAGCAGCAGAGCUGAGCGGAGGCUGCAGGGAAGACACGGUUUGCCAAAGGCCCUGCUGCAUUUAUUCAGCUCUCACACCAGUUACAUGGUUACAGAGCUGCUACCAAGGGCUGAGCCUGCAUCUUCCUGCUGUGCUCCCAGUGGCUGCCUGCAGCAGGCUAAAACGGCCUGAGGAUGUGGAGCACAUCAUGCACCUCCUCUGCCCUCUUGUGUAAGAGCAGCACUGCUGCUUCAGGAAAACAAAAGCAGCUGGGGUGCAUGGUUCUUGUUUAUCCAUGCUCCCUGCUGGGGCUUUAAAUAUCUCUCUAAGUGGAGACCAUGAGUUGUCUGUAACAGCAGUGCCAAUGUUUGACCAUCAAUAAAGUGCUCUGUGCUUCCUUGG